rnacentral:rRNA from 1 species
UACGAAGGGGGCUAGCGUUGCUCGGAAUCACUGGGCGUAAAGCGCACGUAGGCGGCUUGCUAAGUCAGGGGUGAAAUCCUGGAGCUCAACUCCAGAACUGCCCUUGAUACUGGCGGUCUCGAGUCCGGGAGAGGUGAGUGGAACUGCGAGUGUAGAGGUGAAAUUCGUAGAUAUUCGCAAGAACACCAGUGGCGAAGGCGGCUCACUGGCCCGGUACUGACGCUGAGGAGCGAAAGCCAGGGGAGCAAACGGG